GUGGCUGCAUUCAACAUGUGAUAGAUAUAUUUAAGUAAUUAGGGAAAUCUGCUAAACAAAGAAAAAUCACAACACUGCCAGUAUUUAAUAUUGUCUUUAUGAAAGCAACACCUAAAUGCCUUUUAUGCAUACAAGUCUCCAAAUGUGGGUUUUCUGGUUAUCUUCAAAUUUGACCUCCAUUAUAGCCAACAGAAAAAAGGCAGAGGCACGCAAAACAGGUGGCGGUCCACCACCACCACCUCUCACAGAGGCUGAAGAGAUGGCAUCUCUGGGGGGAGCUCAUCGGACCCAGCCACGCCCCAGGACACAGGGGCCUACAUAAGAGUUACUGAUGAUGGUGUAAUCUGUUUCGUGGAGCCUUCUGCCAUAACACACCUCCAUGCUGUUGUAAGUACUCUUAAUAUUCAACAGAUUUGUCAUAAUGGGUAGAAUAUAACACAAACAUUCUGUUUCAUUGCAGGAUGAUGAUGAAGACACCUUAUCAGCGGCCACAGAGAGGGAAGUAAUAACUUUGGUUUCAGUUAAUUGUUCCACAAUACAACUUGAAACUGCUUUCUCUCUAACAGAGCAAUGCCGGAAGUUACAAUGAGGAAGAAGGUCCAUCAACCUCCACAGCACAGCUUACCUCAGUAAUAUGUUGUUCAGCGUUGACCCACAACUUACAAUUACACUAAGUAGACAUGGCACUGUGAAAUUCAACGUCAUUUAUGUGCCUAUAGCUCCCUGUGAAACAACUUUACAAAGUAUAUAUUUAGAAGCCCAAAUAAACAAAUCACACCUAGAAAUGGAGCACAUAAGGCUGCAGAUCACCAAAACAAAAAAGGAAAUACAACUGCUGGACCAUCAGUUAAAGG